rnacentral:rRNA from 1 species
CGCGUGUGUGAAGAAGGCCUUCGGGUUGUAAAGCACUUUCAGUCGUGAGGAAGGUGGUGUCGUUAAUAGCGGCAUCAUUUGACGUUAGCGACAGAAGAAGCACCGGCUAACUCCGUGCCAGCAGCCGCGGUAAUACGGAGGGUGCGAGCGUUAAUCGGAAUUACUGGGCGUAAAGCGCAUGCAGGUGGUUAGUUAAGUCAGAUGUGAAAGCCCGGGGCUCAACCUCGGAACUGCAUUUGAAACUGGCUGACUAGAGUACUGUAGAGGGGGGUAGAAUUUCAGGUGUAGCGGUGAAAUGCGUAGAGAUCUGAAGGAAUACCGGUGGCGAAGGCGGCCCCCUGGACAGAUACUGACACUCAGAUGCGAAAGCGUGGGGAGCAAACAGGAUUAGAUACCCUGGUAGUCCACGCCGUAAACGAUGUCUACUUGGAGGUUGUGGCCUUGAGCCGUGGCUUUCGGAGCUAACGCGUUAAGUAGACCGCCUGGGGAGUACGGUCGCAAGAUUAAAACUCAAAUGAAUUGACGGGGGCCCGCACAAGCGGUGGAGCAUGUGGUUUAAUUCGAUGCAACGCGAAGAACCUUACCUACUCUUGACAUCCAGAGAACUUAGCAGAGAUGCUUUGGUGCCUUCGGGAACUCUGAGACAGGUGCUGCAUGGCUGUCGUCAGCUCGUGUUGUGAAAUGUUGGGUUAAGUCCCGCAACGAGCGCAACCCUUAUCCUUGUUUGCCAGCACUUCGGGUGGGAACUCCAGGGAGACUGCCGGUGAUAAACCGGAGGAAGGUGGGGACGACGUCAAGUCAUCAUGGCCCUUACGAGUAGGGCUACACACGUGCUACAAUGGCGCAUACAGAGGGCGGCCAACUUGCGAAAGUGAGCGAAUCCCAAAAAGUGCGUCGUAGUCCGGAUUGGAGUCUGCAACUCGACU